rnacentral:rRNA from 1 species
AGUGAACGCUGGCGGUAGGCCUAACACAUGCAAGUCGAACGGCAGCACAGUAAGAGCUUGCUCUUACGGGUGGCGAGUGGCGGACGGGUGAGGAAUACAUCGGAAUCUACUUUUUCGUGGGGGAUAACGUAGGGAAACUUACGCUAAUACCGCAUACGACCUACGGGUGAAAGCAGGGGAACUUCGGACCUUGCGCGAUUGAAUGAGCCGAUGUCGGAUUAGCUAGUUGGCGGGGUAAAGGCCCACCAAGGCGACGAUCCGUAGCUGGUCUGAGAGAUUGAUCAGCCACACUGGAUCUUGGACCCGGUCCAGACUCCUACGGGAGGCAGCAGUGUGGAAUAUUGGACAAUGGGCGCAAGCCUUAUCCAGUCAUACCGCGUGGGUGAAGAAGGCCUUCGGGUUGUAAAGCCCUUUUGUUGGGAAAGAAAAGCAGCAGGUUAAUACCCCGCUGUUCUGACGGUACCCAAAGAAUAAGCACCGGCUAACUUCGUG